UGCGGGAUGAACUCGUUGGUGCUUUGCAUGUUCCUUUGUAAGCCGUUGGCUUAUCUCUCGGCCCAUGCUCGGUUACCUGACCCUUGGAUGCUGAAAAUUAAGUGGGCAAGGGGUUGAGGAAAACCCUCUUGAUAAGCCUGAUCCUUGCGCUCAUCGCUCGAACCGAAAGACGUUGUGGCUCGCCUUGGCAUUCUUGAACCAUUGGUUCUCGUAAUGGCCAUGCGUUGUCCCAAUCGUCCCGAGGAAAGCUACCUGGUUGAUCC
rnacentral:misc_RNA from 1 species